rnacentral:rRNA from 1 species
AACGAACGCUGGCGGCAUGCCUAACACAUGCAAGUCGAACGAGACCUUCGGGUCUAGUGGCGCACGGGUGCGUAACGCGUGGGAACCUGCCCUUAGGUUCGGAAUAACUCCCCGAAAGGGGUGCUAAUACCGGAUAAUGUCUUCGGACCAAAGAUUUAUCGCCUUUGGAUGGGCCCGCGUUGGAUUAGCUAGUUGGUAGGGUAAAAGCCUACCAAGGCGACGAUCCAUAGCUGGUCUGAGAGGAUGAUCAGCCACACUGGGACUGAGACACGGCCCAGACUCCUACGGGAGGCAGCAGUGGGGAAUAUUGGACAAUGGGCGAAAGCCUGAUCCGGCAAUGCCGCGUGAGUGAUGAAGGCCUUAGGGCUGUAAAGCUCUUUUACCCGGGAUGAUAAUGACAGUACCGGGAGAAUAAGCUCCGGCUAACUCCGUG